rnacentral:rRNA from 1 species
UACGGGGGGAGCAAGCGUUGUUCGGAUUUACUGGGCGUAAAGGGCGCGUCGGCGGCCUCUGCAAGUCGACUGUGAAAUCUCCGGGCUUAACCCGGAAAGGUCAGCCGAUACUGCAGGGCUAGAGUGCAGAAGGGGCAACUGGAAUUCUCGGUGUAGCGGUGAAAUGCGUAGAUAUCGAGAGGAACACCAGUGGCGAAGGCGAGUCCCUGGACAGAUCCUGACGCUGAGGCGCGAAAGCUAGGGGAGCAAACGGG